rnacentral:rRNA from 1 species
GACGAACCGUGCGAACGUUGUUCGGAAUCACUGGGCUUAAAGGGCGCGUAGGCGGGCUGCCAAGUCAGGGGUGAAAGCCCACGGCUCAACCGUGGAAGUGCCUUUGAUACUGGCGGUCUCGAGGGAAGUAGGGGCGUGCGGAACUUCCGGUGGAGCGGUGAAAUGCGUAGAUAUCGGAAGGAACACCGGUGGCGAAAGCGGCGACGCUGGACUUCGUA